UAUUCUCUAACAUCGCCGUGUCACUCUGAACAAAAAGCCUUCAUGUUUAAACCGAAAUUAAAGCGUAUCACCAUUUUAGGAUCUGCGUAGCGGGGGAACUUAAACGCGGAAACGUUAUCUCCCUGGUAAGCAUUCGGACAUUUGUUUUGUGUAUUAACCUACCUUAAUUAUGACAUUGGUUAACUAAUUCUUAGUUAGCGGUUUGGAAACAAAUGACGACGUGAUGCGAAAUGUUGCCACAAUGGGCCUUGGUAAUACAACUGAAUCAAAUCCAGCAGGUGAGAAUGACUUAUCCAAGUGUUUGCAUGUAGCCAAUAACUUGUUAUUCUGCGCCGGUUGCGUCGCAUCUGAGAGUUGACAGAGUACUCAGCCCCUGCCUCCACAUAUUACUGACUGUUUAGAUUUUGGAUACAAAAAAUUCAUGAUCACGUUUCAGCCCUCAUGCCUUCUUCAAGUAUAGCUGGACAUAGGUACUGGUAUAUAUAGGCCAAACACAUUCAAAUGUGAUUAGACAAUCAAGCUACCCCAUUCACGAAUCAAAAUUCUUACCAAACCACGAGGAACUGUUUACGAUCAAACAAAUUACUUCAUCUAAAUCUCCAAAAAAAAAGGUAGGCUACAUUACAGAAUCCUCAGCGCGAUAUUUUCAGAGGUUUGUUAAUUUAGAGCUGAGGUUGAAUUGUAUCUAAUCAAAAUGAUGUUUUAAACAACGUUUUGAAAAUUCUUAUGAGACACAAUAGUACUUGUCACUUAGUAAAAAAUGCCUAUGCUCUGUGUUGCCCAGAUAUGUACUUCAGUUAGCAUGCUAACCAGUUAGCCCCAGCCUAUCCUCUCUGAUAAUACCACUUCAUACCUCAAGAGGCGCUAAGCAAUCAAUGUAGUGAAAACAGCAAGACAGCAUAGAUACUGUCACUGGCAUAUGCCCACCCUGUCAGGAAUGUCUUUAAACACUGAAAUGCCAUUUCAGAGACUUAAAUAAUGACAGUUAAAGUGUUUCUUAAUUUGUGGAGUAAUGGAUUGUUAAAUGUUUUGAACUACAG
ensembl:lncRNA